UACGUAGGGUGCAAGCGUUGUCCGGAAUUAUUGGGCGUAAAGAGCUCGUAGGCGGUCUGUCGCGUCGGCUGUGAAACCCCGGGGCUCAACCUCGGGCCUGCAGCCGAUACGGGCAGACUAGAGUUCGGCAGGGGAGACUGGAAUUCCUGGUGUAGCGGUGAAAUGCGCAGAUAUCAGGAGGAACACCGGUGGCGAAGGCGGGUCUCUGGGCCGAUACUGACGCUGAGGAGCGAAAGCGUGGGGAGCGAACAGG
rnacentral:rRNA from 1 species